rnacentral:rRNA from 1 species
AUUGAACGCUGGCGGCAGGCUUAACACAUGCAAGUCGAACGAGUGGCGGACGGGUGAGUAAUGUGUGGGAAUCUACCUGAUGGAGGGGGAUAACUACUGGAAACGGUAGCUAAUACCGCAUACCAUAGGAUGAGCCCAGAGGGGAUUAGGUAGUAGGUGGGGUAAAGGCUCACCAAGCCGACGAUCCCUAGCUGGUCUGAGAGGAUGACCAGCCAACCUGGGACUGAGACACGGCCCAGACGCCUACGGGAGGCAGCAGUGGGGAAUAUUGCGCAAUGGGAGCAAGCCUGAUGCAGCCAUGCCGCGUGUAUGAAGAAGGUCUUCGGGUUGUAAAGUACUUUAAGUGGGGAGGCGUUACCAGCAGAAGAAGCACCGGCUAACUACGUGCCAGCAGCCGCGGUAAUUC